ensembl:lncRNA
UGAAGACGGACUCAAGCGACACAAAAUGUUGAACACGCCCACUCCGUUUCCCCGGAAUCCAUGCCACUGGCGCCGCAGUCUGACAGAGAAUGAGCGAGGUUGUGUUGUGACGAGCAACAGGUCGUGUACUGGGAAGAAGAUUUGGUGUUGAUGGAGGAGGCAACAUCUUCAAGGCAAAACCUUAGACCUGAUGCAACAUCAUCCAAUGUCAAAAUCACCCUCUAGGAGGCACUUGAAGCCCAGUGCCCAAUAUGCACAGGAACAUUUCCAGUGUCAGAAGUAGACCUGCCAUGCCAGCUUUUGUGGAGACAGAUUGUAUGGAAGUUGGCGGAUCAGAGGAACAGAAAAAAGUCCCAAAGUUCUGGAAAUCGACUUUGUGCCUCAUUCAGUUUGAGUAGAUAUGAAGAAUGACCCGUGAUGUUGAUUCAAACCUCAAUAUCAGGAGCCCUGAAC